AGAUGACUAACAAUUUUACACCACACAAAAGGACUGACAAUAAAUUCAGGAGUGGCAAAUGGAACCUCUGUUCUGUUUCCCUCUCAGUAAAUAAAUAACUGCAAAACCUGUGCUCCAAUACCCGAGCGUCAAAUCCAUGGCGCUCUGUUGAUUAACACUGAAAAUGUCUUUGUGAAGACGAUACAUUUAGAAGAGUCCUAAGGCUUGCACCAGAAGCUGACACUGAAGGUUUAUUUUAAUGUAGCACGGAUCAGAGCGAAUGAUGUGAAAAGAGUUCUGUUUCUCCUGGAAGGAUGCCACUUGUUCCUACUCCUGGGGAAAUGUCUUCCAAGCUCUUUACCAAAUCUGCAAGCUGAAGCAACUCAACUGUGGCUAACCUGACCACCUGAAGACCUCAGGAUCCACCAGGAGCCCAAGACACCUCAAACGCUCGUGCAAGGGCCCAAGGAACCAUGGUGCACAGCUGCUAUCCCCUGUAAAGUUUCAGAACCAGAGCUUUUCAGAUCCAAGACACACGGACUUGCACUCGGAUGCUGACUCUGCCACCCUACCACUGACUCAGUCUAUGAACGUGGACAAGUCCCCAUAGCAUAGACAAACGUUAGCUUCCUCCUCUGCAAAACAGGGGCACCCAGUUUCUUAUCAUGUUACAGCAGCCUGGAAAACUCACACACAAGUGAAGCCCCGACUCACCCUGCAGUGCCCAUCUGAACACCUCUCAUGGAUUCUGAGCAAGGCAAUAACAACAAAAAACCAAAAACCGAUCCUGAACUAGAAAUGCAAGAGAAAAAUGAAGCAAUCAAAAGUCACACAGCUGUUUCUUCCUUCCCCUGAAG